GAUGAACGCUGGCGGCGUGCCUAAUACAUGCAAGUCGAGCGAACAGACGAGGAGCUUGCUCCUCUGACGUUAGCGGCGGACGGGUGAGUAACACGUGGAUAACCUACCUAUAAGACUGGGAUAACUUCGGGAAACCGGAGCUAAUACCGGAUAAUAUAUUGAACCGCGUGGUUCAAUAGUGAAAGACGGUUUUGCUGUCACUUAUAGAUGGAUCCGCGCCGCAUUAGCUAGUUGGUAAGGUAACGGCUUACCAAGGCAACGAUGCGUAGCCGACCUGAGAGGGUGAUCGGCCACACUGGAACUGGGACACGGUCCAGACUCCUACGGGAGGCAGCAGUAGGGAAUCUUCCGCAAUGGGCGAAAGCCUGACGGAGCAACGCCGCGUGAGUGAUGAAGGUCUUCGGAUCGUAAAACUCUGUUAUUAGGGAAGAACAAAUGUGUAAGUAACUAUGCACUUCUUGACGGUACCUAAUCAGAAAGCCACGGCUAACUACGUG
rnacentral:rRNA from 1 species